CAGCAGCCGCGGGAAUACAGAGGGUGCGAGCGUUAAUCGGAUUUACUGGGCGUAAAGCGUGCGUAGGCGGCUUCUUAAGUCGGAUGUGAAAUCCCUGAGCUUAACUUAGGAAUUGCAUUCGAUACUGGGAAGCUAGAGUAUGGGAGAGGAUGGUAGAAUUCCAGGUGUAGCGGUGAAAUGCGUAGAGAUCUGUAGGAAUACCGAUGGCGAAGGCAGCCAUCUGGCCUAAUACUGACGCUGAGGUACGAAAGCAUGGGGAGCAAACAGGAUUAGAUACCCCUGUAGUCCCUGUCUCUUAUAC
rnacentral:rRNA from 1 species